UCAUUGUACUAUCCGUGAGCUGUAGGGUGCCACCAGAUGUGAACAACAUAAAAGAAGAAAGAAGUCCAUCAAAUUCAAGAUCUUCGGGUUUCCACAUCCAUGAGACUCGAACAACGAAAGUACCCAUCUCCAGCACUGUUGCGAAGUUACGUGAGUUAGCCCAGUGCCUGCAUGGCUUGCCAAGCGGUACUAUGUCCACACCCCAGAUGCAAACCGGCGAACCCCAGGCCGCUUAAGUGGAAGGUGCGCACGUAACCACUCUGCCACUGAGCUGGCCUCAAGAGAGGAAGAACUAUUUAGUAACAAGCUCUGGAUCGCACCUCUGAAGUGCUGGGUUUCCCCUCAUGGGACACCUUCGCUUGAGGAUGGACAGUCACUGACUGUGAUGUGCAGAAGGGACUCUUACUUCAAGGAGAGAGUUAAGUGGAUGACCGCCAAUGCUCUCUCACUUACAGGAUUCCAAAUCAGAUUGCCAUCACCCUGACUUCGCCAGGCAAUUAUUUUUGAGAUGGCCUUAGCUGUAGGCCUACAGCGUGAGUGCCAGCUGUAUAGGUAAAUCAAGACCACGUAUGGCCAACUUUCUUAGAACAUGCUAUCCACAACAUUUCUGCCAAAUUUUAUGCAGUAGCUGUUUAGCUCGUGUUAGGUGGUUCCAGGAAAAAAAUUUCUAUGUUCCAAUUCUGGGCUCCUGGCUUCCAGCUGGACUGCAUCACGGACAUACACUGCCUGGUGCCCGGGAGAGGAGAAACUGGUUUGCUCAUUCAUGUAAACAUAUUCAUGGAAAGCUGACUCCACAGGCAAGAAGAGGCUAUUGUUUCUGUCCAUCUGGGGCAGUUUUUCAUUUUGUUUUGUUUUGUUUUGUUUGAGGAAGAUUAGCCCUGAACUAACAUCUGUUGCCAAUCCUCCUCUUUUUGCUGAGGAAGACUGGCCCUGAGCUAACAUCCGUGCCCAUCUUCCUCUACUUUAUA
rnacentral:lncRNA from 1 species